rnacentral:rRNA from 1 species
AUCGAACGCUGGCGGCAGGCUUAACACAUGCAAGUCGAGCGGUAGCACAGGGGAGCUUGCUCCCUGGGUGACGAGCGGCGGACGGGUGAGUAAUGUCUGGGAAACUGCCUGAUGGAGGGGGAUAACUACUGGAAACGGUAGCUAAUACCGCAUAACGUCGCAAGACCAAAGAGGGGGACCUUCGGGCCUCUUGCCAUCAGAUGUGCCCAGAUGGGAUUAGCUAGUAGGUGGGGUAAUGGCUCACCUAGGCGACGAUCCCUAGCUGGUCUGAGAGGAAGACGAGCCACACUGGAACUGGGACACGGUCCAGACUCCUACGGGAGGCAGCAGUGGGGAAUAUUGCACAAUGGGCGCAAGCCUGAUGCAGCCAUGCCGCGUGUGUGAAGAAGGCCUUCGGGUUGUAAAGCACUUUCAGCGAGGAGGAAGGUGGUGAACUUAAUACGCUCAUCAAUUGACGUUACUCACAGAAGAAGCACCGGCUAACUCCGUGCCAGCCGCCGCGGUAA